rnacentral:antisense_RNA from 1 species
CUUCAGCGAGCCCAGCCACAGCGGCCGGUCCUCGGCGUGCUCCUGGCCGUACGUGGCCAGCAGCGCACCGGCCUC